rnacentral:rRNA from 1 species
CCUACGGGUGGCAGCAGUGAGGAAUAUUGGUCAAUGGACGAGAGUCUGAACCAGCCAAGUAGCGUGAAGGAUGACUGCCCUAUGGGUUGUAAACUUCUUUUAUAUGGGAAUAAAAUGUUCCACGUGUGGGAUUUUGUAUGUACCAUAUGAAUAAGGAUCGGCUAACUCCGUGCCAGCAGCCGCGGUAAUACGGAGGAUCCGAGCGUUAUCCGGAUUUUUUGGGUUUAAAGGGAGCAGAGGUGGAAUGUUAAGUCAGGUGUGAAAGUUUGCGGCUCAACCGUAAAAUUGCAGUUGAAACUGGCUGUCUUGAGUACAGUAGAGGUAGGCGGAAUUCGUGGUGUAGCGGUGAAAUGCAUAGAUAUCACGAAGAACUCCGAUUGCGAAGGCAGCACACUGGACUGCAACUGACGCUGAGGCACGAAAGUGUGGGUAUCAAACAGGAUUAGAUACCCCAGUAGUC